UGGUCACUGUGGAGGGAAAGGUGUGGGAAAACACCUUUGAGCUAAGCUCAGGAGGAGCCGCUGACCUAGGCAACUCUGCUGAUCACUGUGAAGAUUACAAAACACCUCAACUGGAAGAAGUGUUGUUACAAUGAGGAUGGCUCAGCGCUGUCAAUGGAUAGACGUGAUAAGCAUGUUGAUAAGAUUCUUGAUGUGUCUAGAAUGCUGGAACCACCUCAAGGAAGGCAAUGUUUGAAGCAACAAAGUGAUCCUGGUCCUGAAUUCGGAGACCCACCUCUUGUUAAUAUUGCAUCUAUGUUACCAUCGGGUUAUUACAUAUUCCCAUCACAAGCUCUGAAAACAUGCAAAACCACUUGACAAAAAGGAUAAACAAGAGAAAAAGGGGGACUGAACCACAACCAGAUGUGCAAUACCACCUGCUAAGGGGAGUGGAGCGGAGUUUAAAGACGAAGUUAUUUUUCGUAAAACCUGGACAAGAAAUCAUGGAAACUUCAAAAAGUAUUAAAAACUUUUAUCAGAGAGAAGACAUACAAAACCUGAUUUCUAUUAUUAAACAUUUGGGGUGAUAUCUCAGGAUACAUGGGCCACAGGGUAUUAAAUGCUAUCGAAGACAAGAAAUGCUUAUUUGUGAUUAACGUCUUUAUAGAUUUGUUUCCAUGUUCAAAGAGCAUGUUCAUAUAUACGAUCACAUUUAAUCUAUACUUUAAUUCUGUCACGUGAGGAUUAUAUUAGUAUCCUCAUUUUAUUAUAACAGAUUUGAUACUCAGGUAGAUUAAUUAUCUUGUUGAAUAGAAUGAAAUUAGGUUAUAAUGAACAGUGAUUUGAAAGUAUAUCUCCUGACUUUAAAUCCAUCAUUAUUCCUUUCUGUGCAGUUUUAGCAAAAUUAUAUUAAAUUUCAUGAAAGCCUUGCAAAAAGUAAUAAUGACAUGCUGGAAUUUUUUAUGCAUUUUUAAAUAGGACUAACCUCUCACAACCUUACCGCAUACAAAAAUUUGCAUUUUCAAAGAAAACUAUUUUUGUUUCCUAUGAAUUGAUUGCCAAGUGAUCCAUAAAUUCCAAAAUAAAACGUGAAAUUAAAACACUCAAAGUGACUGCCUGGAAUUUACUUCAUUUCCCUCAUGGAAUUAGAGUGAAAGCACUUGGUAAUUUUGCUUGCUCCAAGGGCUUUAGGAAAAUUGACUUUCAGUGUUGAUGAAAUAAUAUUUGGAAUGACAAACAUUGGCAGGAAGACAAUUUACUCAGUUGAUAACACUGAGUAAGCCAUUUUCAUCUUGAGAUUUAGUCAGAAAUCUCUGAAAGGAUGCAAUUUACAAAAUAAGUGCUCCAUGACAUUGCAAAAUGACACUAACUUCUGAUGACUCUAAAUGCCAACAUUUUAGAUGAUGAUCCUUUUGGUUUAAAAAGUUACAAUAAAAUAGGAUGUCAAUUGUACAAUGGAUUAAAUUGAGAAAGGCUUAAUUUAAAAUUCUGAAUGAUAGUGAAAAAUAGUAAAAAACCUAGAAAAUUUCUCACUCUCAGAAAAAUGUACCAUAUGUUCCCUAAAAUAUAGAUGGAACCAACUACAUUAGCAAAGCAAUUAAAAUGGUGUCUUGUGGUGUUAAAAUUCAAGUUCACAUAUGGCAUU
rnacentral:lncRNA from 10 species